ACACACACACACACACACACACUGAGAUAUACUUACAAACGUGUAUACAUUGGGGCCAGCAAAGAGUGCAUGCGUGUGUGUGUGUUCAUUAGUCCACUCACAAAUUUUCUCUUUGGUGAUGAAUUUUAGUGCAUAUUCAUCCAUCUGUUGAAAAAUAACAGAUGAACAAAAUUUGGGAACUCUUUCCAGUAUGAGAACGCUGAUUCAAGAAGGUGAUGUGUUCUAUUUUACGCACAAAUGUGUUCUUAGGAAUAACCAUUGCUGUCACUUGCUAAGUAUAUUGUCACAUAUUCAUGUUACCUAGAUAGUGAUAGAUGGUAGAUAGAUAAUGAAUCAAAAGUUUCCCUAUAAUAAAUUCCAGCAAUGCUACUUAACAAAGGGUGGACAUGUUAGCAGUGGAAGCUUGCCUACAAAACAUUGGUGUACUAGAAUGUUUACAAUGUACUUUGUGGUUGCAAUGAAUAUUUCUGAACUUUAUAUAUUCCUGUUUGAUAUUUAUUGCCUAUUUGAUACCAUAUCAUGCAAAUAUGUUAUUUAAUAGGUAAAAGAAUUUGAUUGGGUGAUUUUUGCCUGAAGGUCAAACAUGUCACUGUCCCCUGAGGAGAGUUGGCUUCCUGUUGCUAGCAUUGUUCUUGGUAUCAUUCAUGUACAGUUGGAAGCGAGUAUCAAAAAUGGAGAUCUUGAGGGAUUUCAAUUAUUCAACAAGGCGUCAGUUUUUUUUUCAUCAAUGAUGAAAAGGAAAGAUAUUAAUUUGAAAGAGCAUGAGGAACUAUUUGAUGAGGGUAGACAAGAACCCAGGAAUCUACCAUCUGCUGAAGAACAAUUAAGAGAUGAGAUUCGGGAGUGGAGAGCCCCCAGAAAGCCCUCAGAACAUCAUGAACCCUCAAAUGGUGAUUGGGAUAAUGAUGAUCAGAGGAAACAAUAGAAAUCCGCUUGGGUUGCAAUAUAUAAUUUUUCAUUGCCUUGCAACAUUUGUGAUUAACCAGUCGCAGAAUUGAUUACUGUAAUAUAUGCUUGAAAAAAAAUUACACUCUUUUUAGUAUGCAGUUUUUCAUGACAGAGAAGCUGGUCACGUUAUCAUCUAAAAUUUCUUAGUAGGAUUUUGUGAAAAUUUGAUGCUUUCAUAAUGAUCUCUAGAAAGAUGCACGUUAGUCACAAUUGCAACAUAGGAUGAUAUCCGAAAUCCAUAGCUACCUUGAGGAGAUUCAUCAUGAAUUUUGCUGCUUCAUAGGAAAGGGGCUUAAAAGCCUCAUUUUGAAGCAGAGAUCCAGGCUAACAGCAGCAAAGGCAAAGAUCAAGAGAUUCUCGGAUACGUACAUUCCACCAUCAAAAGCAUGGGACAAUAAACUUCCAGGAUUUAACUCCAGUGGUGGUCCUCCGGCCAGUGUAGCAAGACCUUUGACAAAUCCAAAAGCUGCACAGGUCCCUGACUUGAGUUGGAAAUUGUCCAAAUCUCUUCUCACAGCAUAGCGAAAGGUUACCCCGAACAAGGCACAGCUAAUGAAGGUGGUUGCCAAAGGAAGUAUUAGUUGUGCAGUAUCUGUCACCUGAGUGAAGAAAAAAGGAAGACCUGCAAGGGUACCAACAAGUGCAGAUGUACAAGCUGCCUUAAUGGAUUCCCAUCUUUCUUGAUCUAUGUCUAUCCCCUCUUCUCCGCCUAUAGCGUCUCUGUCUCCAUUUUUACUCAUUGAAAGAAACUGUUCCGCUUCUUCAACCUUAGAUUUUGCCUCUAAGAUCUCCUGCUGACAUUCUGCAAUCUCGGAAGCUCUGCUUUCAAGUUGAUUGAUAUAAAUUCUCAAUUGCUUAGCCUCAAGCUCUUGUCUUUCAAUCUCCGCAAGCUCUCUUUUUGCCCUCUCUACCCUCUGCGAUGCCUUCUCUAACCCAUCAAACAAUGCCUUAUUAUCUUCUCUGCUCAAGAGAUCCUCUACUUGCUUCUCCACCAUACCAGAUAACGCAUCCUUCAAAUUUUUACUGGAACUGGUUUCCUUAUCCUGUGAGCUGUUGCUGCUGCAUUUUGAGAGUAGAGGUUUGGGCAGCGAAGUAGUGGCUCUGCGGAAGAGUCUUGGAUAAACAGGUGAGGUGAUGCAUAAGGGUUUUAAGAGGAUGGAUUUCGGGUUUGGAGUUUGAGAGUGGAGAAAAGAAGGAUUGUUUAUGGUGGCCAUGAUGCUGUUCAACUGGAUGAGAUUGGAGGACUGUGUAGACCCCGUCUACUGUCUGCCCAUGAUCUUUUCGAUUUUCCUUUUUCUUUUUCCCUUAAAAAAUUCAUAAGCUUUCGACUUAGCGACCUGUCGUUUAAAGCCCCUUUCGCCCAUCCUCGAGGAGCGAAU
rnacentral:misc_RNA from 1 species